GAUGAACGCUGGCGGCGUGCCUAAUACAUGCAAGUCGAGCGAACGGACGAGAAGCUUGCUUCUCUGAUGUUAGCGGCGGACGGGUGAGUAACACGUGGAUAACCUACCUAUAAGACUGGGAUAACUUCGGGAAACCGGAGCUAAUACCGGAUAAUAUUUUGAACCGCAUGGGUCAAAAGUGAAAGACGGUCUUGCUGUCACUUAUAGAUGGAUCCGCGCUGCAUUAGCUAGUUGGUAAGGUAACGGCUUACCAAGGCAACGAUGCAUAGCCGACCUGAGAGGGUGAUCGGCCACACUGGAACUGAGGCACGGUCCAGACUCCUACGGGAGGCAGCAGUAGGGAAUCUUCCGCAAUGGGCGAAAGCCUGACGGAGCAACGCCGCGUGAGUGAUGAAGGUCUUCGGAUCGUAAAACUCUGUUAUUAGGGAAGAACAUAUGUGUAAGUAACUGUGCACAUCUUGACGGUACCUAAUCAGAAAGCCACGGCUAACUACGUG
rnacentral:rRNA from 1 species